GAUGAACGCUGGCGGUGUGCCUAAUACAUGCAAGUCGAGCGAACAGACGAGGAGCUUACUCCUCUGACGUUAGCGGCGGACGGGUGAGUAACACGUGGAUAACCUACCUAUAAGACUGGGAUAACUUCGGGAAACCGGAGCUAAUACCGGAUAACAUGUUGAACCGCAUGGUUCAACAGUGAAAGACGGUCUUGCUGUCACUUAUAGAUGGAUCCGCGUCGCAUUAGCUAGUUGGUAAGGUAACGGCUUACCAAGGCAACGAUGCGUAGCCGACCUGAGAGGGUGAUCGGCCACACUGGAACUGAGACACGGUCCAUACUCCUACGGGAGGCAGCAGUAGGGAAUCUUCCGCAAUGGGCGAAAGCCUGACGGAGCAACGCCGCGUGAGUGAAGAAGGUCUUCGGAUCGUAAAACUCUGUUAUUAGGGAAGAACAAAUGUGUAAGUAACUAUGCACGUCUUGACGGUACCUAAUCAGAAAGCCACGGCUAACUACGUG
rnacentral:rRNA from 1 species